rnacentral:tRNA from 1 species
GGCUCAAUAGCUCAGUGGUAGAGCAACAGUUUUGUAAACUGUGGGUCGGGGGUUCAAUCCCCUCUUGAGCCU